UAGGGAAUUUUGGGCAAUGGGCGAAAGCCUGACCCAGCAACGCCGCGUGUGGGAUGAAGGCCCUCGGGUCGUAAACCACUGUCAGGAGGAAAGAAAAGUCGGCCGGAUAAUACUCGGUCGACCUGACGGUACCUCCAAAGGAAGCACCGGCUAACUCCGUGCCAGCAGCCGCGGUAAUACGGAGGGUGCAAGCGUUGUUCGGAAUUACUGGGCGUAAAGCGCGUGUAGGUGGUCGAGUAAGUCGAAUGUGAAAGCCCCGGGCUCAACCCGGGAAGUGCAUCCGAAACUGCUCGACUAGAGUCCCGGAGAGGAAGGCAGAAUUCCCAAUGUAGGGGUGAAAUCCGUAGAUAUUGGGAGGAAUACCGGUGGCGAAGGCGGCCUUCUGGACGGUGACUGACACUCAGACGCGAAAGCGUGGGGAGCAAACAGGAUUAGAUACCCUGGUAGUCCCUGAGCGGGCUGGCAAGGCGCAU
rnacentral:rRNA from 1 species